UCUUUACAACAAUCAUUUUCUUGUCUAUUGCUUAGCUUCUGUUUUGGCUAACCAAUGCAUCUCCUGCACGGCUUCACCUUCCUGUCAUUUUUCACCUUCCUGUCAUUUUUGAAGCUGUUUAUCGUUCUUGUUUUAGGAAUCAUGCUUCUGCCUUGGAUAAUUCCUGCUCUGAUCUUCCUCUUUCUUUCUUUAGUCCUACUGUUUCCAGUAUUUUGUAUCCUCUUCUGGGCCUUAUUGUUGUUUAAGGUCAUAUCCAAGUGUCAGACAAAAGCCUCACAAGGAAUGGAUCAUCAUCAAGAAGUAAGUGAGCAGCAGGUGAGCCUGGAGAUGGAUUCAUCUCAGUUUUCCUUUGAUCCCGGUGAAUCAGGAGAAAGCAAAAAUGAGACACCGGAAACACCAAAGGCGAGCAGCAGGCAUUUCGAAUUGUGGCAAACUUGGCAUCCACAAUCUGUAGAAAUUCAUGAACGAAAACCGUUUAAUGAAUUAAUGGCAUUUUGGAGAAGGCAAGAGAAACUCACAAGUGAACAGAGAUAGCAGCAGCACACUACGGAAGGCAUAAGCCUUCAAGACCCAUCUCUGGAACUCCUAUGCUUGCUUUCAGCAAUGGUUGGAGUUUUAAGAAGGGAAGUAGAACUGAACUUUAUACUUGGAAUGAUACAGGCAUUGAUCAGCGAUGAUGACAUCCAACGAAUCCUGAGCAAAUCGGACUUUCUGGGCUUUGGAGAUA